rnacentral:lncRNA from 1 species
UUUUUUUCUUAGAGGAGGAAGGCAUGCAGUAAAUACAUAUUUAUGUCCACUUUUAAUUCCCAGAAUGUCUCCUCAUCUUCGGGUUCCCUUUUAUUGCCAAGUCAGACCGCCACUUGGUUCCCAUUAGAGGGCUGGGUCAUUAGCUCAAUGGAUUGAGCCAGGAAUUAAUUUCAAAAUCGGUGGCUGUGUAAAAGUCUUAGCUAAAGAUGGAAAAAGUAACUUAAAAAAAAAGAGGGCUGGGUCAUUAGCUCAAUGGAUUGGGUCAGGAAUUAAUUUCAAAAAUCGGUGACUGUGUAAAAGUCCUAGCUAAAGAUGGAAAAAGUAACUUUAAAAAAACACUAGAUUUUUCUAAUAACCACUUAAUCAGCUGGGGGACAAGUACACUAGGAGGCAUGCUUCUACCGUGAGUGUGUAUAAAACUUUUUCUACGUUUGUUACGAUUAAUGAGUGGUCGCAAUGACCAGAUAGGUGGGGUAUAAAUAGAAUAAAAUAAAAUAAAUAAGUAAAUAAAUAGAAUUACUGGUUGCCUGAGAACCAAAAGCAUUUUUCACCCCUGAUCUGUCCAGAGUGUUUAACAUCUCUUUAGAAGUCUCGCAUGUAUCUAUAUAGACCAUCUAGUGGUCUGAUAAGCUCUGAAAGAUGAUUGCUUUUACUGGUUAGUUGAAUUCGUGGAUUAAGUUACUUGCCCUCUGCUCUAAUUCUUUGUCUGUAGCUGGAGACUUUUCUGGCCCAACUCCUUCGAGAAAACCAGGCCCUUCGGCAUGAACUAAUACACUGGGAAGCAAUGAUUGUGGAAAAGGGGGACCUUGAUUCCUGCUCCAUAUCUUCAACGCUCCACGGAGAAGCCACGGCUGCCAAUGUUCUCCAAGCUUCCCAGAAGGUGGCACUCCUUAUCCAGGAGAGCCAACGCGAUGUCCAGACCCAGACGGAGGGACCCGAGGCAGGCGUCCAGCAUCGGCGCCGGGAGAGGGUCUCCGUGGCCUUUGAUGACACCCAAUACGAGCCUUACGGGCUUCCUGAAGUGGUCAUGAAAGGAUUUGCUGACAUCCCUUCCGGGCCCUCCUGCCCUUAUGUUCUCCGCCGGGGCAUUUUGGGAAGUGCCCCCGUUGCCCAGCUGGCCCCAAAAGCAGAACCAGAAGAGGAUGGUCUCGAAGCGGAAGAAGAAGCCAGCCUCUGAAAACCCAGCUCACCAG